UACGUAGGGGGGCAAGCGUUGUCCGGAUUUAUUGGGCGUAAAGAGCGUGUAGGCGGCUUUACAGGUCCGUUGUGAAAACUCGAGGCUCAACCUCGAGACGCCGGUGGAAACCGUAAGGCUAGAGUCCGGAAGAGGAGAGUGGAAUUCCCAGUGUAGUGGUGAAAUACGUAGAGAUUGGGAAGAACACCAGUGGCGAAGGCGGCUAUCUGGACGGUUUCUGACGCUAAGACGCGAAAGCGUGGGGAGCAAACAGG
rnacentral:rRNA from 1 species